rnacentral:rRNA from 1 species
AAGGGCCGGCCGGAUUAGCUGGAGCGAGCCCGAGGGGGAUCCUGAUUGAUUCGGCGGCGAGAGUGGAGCUAGUGGCGGCAGGCGUGGCGCGCACUGGGCCAAUUAGAUUAGAUUAUUCUCCCCUCGUGCCCGGAGUGGAGAAAGGGAGCCAGACGGCGGUGGUUGGGGCGCUCGGCGGGGGAUUAAAAAUUGCUUGCGUGUGGCGUCGGCGGACGGCGAGAGGCGGAGAGCGGGCGGUGGCUUGGCUACCUACGUAAUGGCUCACGCACGGAUUGACCCCUCCUAGUUCUCCCCCAUUGGCUGCCCUCCCUCCCGUGGUCAAUGGCGGGACACGAAGCUUCUGCGGACUCAUCAAUGGCGUCACAUUCUCUCCUUUUUCUCUCCACAAGAAUGCUAAGCAGUGAUGAU